rnacentral:rRNA from 1 species
UACAGAGGUCUCAAGCGUUGUUCGGAUUCAUUGGGCGUAAAGGGUGCGUAGGCGGCGUGGUAAGUCGGGUGUGAAAUCUCGGAGCUUAACUCCGAAACUGCAUUCGAUACUGCCGUGCUUGAGGACUGGAGAGGAGACUGGAAUUUACGGUGUAGCGGUGAAAUGCGUAGAUAUCGUAAGGAAGACCAGUGGCGAAGGCGGGUCUCUGGGCCAUAACUGACGCUGAGAAGCGAAAGCAUGGGGAGCGAACAGG